AGUUAAUUAACUUAUUAAGUAUAUAUUUUGAAAAUAUAGAAAAGGAAAUAAAAUUUCCUAUUAACUU
rnacentral:tRNA from 1 species